rnacentral:rRNA from 1 species
UACGUAGGGUGCAAGCGUUGUCCGGAAUUAUUGGGCGUAAAGAGCGCGCAGGCGGCUUGGCAAGUCGGGUGUGAAAUCCCGGGGCUCAACCCCGGGACUGCAUUCGAUACUGUCAGGCUAGAGGUAGGUAGGGGAGAUCGGAAUUCCUGGUGUAGCGGUGAAAUGCGCAGAUAUCAGGAGGAACACCGGUGGCGAAGGCGGAUCUCUGGGCCUUACCUGACGCUCAGGCGCGAAAGCUAGGGGAGCGAACAGG